AAAUUACUCCUCAGGGUCUAUGUACCCACAGAAAUUACCCUCCUCAGGGUCUAUGUACCACAGAAUAGACCUCCUCAGGUCUAUUACCCACAGAAAUGACCUCCUCAGGGUCUAUGUACCCACAGAAAUGACCUCCUCAGGGUCUAUGUACCCACAGAAAUGACCUCCUCAGGGUCUAUGUACCCACAGAAAUGACCUCCUCAGGGUCUGUUAUAGACACUAUAUCAUGUUGUAUAAUUGUACAUAUAGGAAUAUAAGUAUUUUAACUACUGAAAUGUUAACAUAUUUUUGUACUUCUGUCUUUUUCAAAAAGGGGCAACAAUAAAUAACUUUUAUAUUACUCACAAAUCUAAUGUUAUUACAAAACAGUUCCAACUUCUAACCUUGAACGUCUACUGUAGCAAAUGUGGGGAAGAUCUCCUUCCAGUGACUCACCAGUGACUGCUUGUACUGUGGUUACCAUACUACCUAAUAACAUACACCACCUUAAUCCACCCACAACACCCACACACGAUCCUCACCACGCAGGAGCCUCGACCUAGUCAUGAAUCUGGAAUCUGAAUGGACCGGUGGUUAACCUUGAACCACAAGGUUUGAGAUCUUUUACCCGAUGGCCAUUUAAACGUAAUUAAGGCUAGAGUUUUGCCUUAAAUUUGUCACCUGGAUGAAAGGAAUGCUUCAUAUCUCCAAUUACAGGUCUUGUUAAUAACAGACGAUUCGUGUGGUUUUGUAGGUGUCAGUCAGUUGACAGUCUUGUCCACCAGCCGGCUCUCUUUCUGGUGAACCAAUGCUUCUACUGUAUGUGGUAGCUAUUAGCCUGUGGCGAGGUUAGUCAGUUAAUGGCAAAACAUUUAGCCUAUGUUUUUGGAAUUCUUCAGUGUUAUUAGUGCCUGAUGAGAGGCCUAUAGUAGUGAACCUGAGUUUUCCAACUCAUUCCAUUCAACCCAUAAAAGGAGACAUGUUAGUGUUGCAUUGCAGCUGUUGAAAGACUAAUCCCAUCUCUAUUGGCAAGAAAUAUUAUCUGCUUGUAACACAGAAUCUUUAUUUUAAUUUGUCACGGUUUUUCACACAAUGAAUUACAUUAGCUUUACUAUUAUUUUGGGUUAUUUAGCGAAAACUCUUUUACAUAUUUAUUUCAUACCUAGUCCAUGACUAUAUUCUAAUACUUACUAUGCACAAUGAUCUCUGUCUCUCCCACUUUGUCUCUCCAGAUCAUUUAAAGGUCUGAGUGGUGAGUUAGAGUGGGGAGAAGAGGGGGCUUACCUUUUCUUCAGCCUGGUAGGGAAGUCAUGACAACUGUUGUGGGACUUGACACUCACUGCUCUGUGUGUGUGUGUGUGUGUGUGUGCUGGAGAACUUGACGAGCAGUGUAGGGAUCAGUGGAAGCCCUCCUCACAGGAAGCUAGCAGCACCACGGCAGCUGUCCCUGACCCAUCGUGUUAUUUUUGUUUUAACAGCUAGCUUUGGGAAUAUGUUAUCGAGGGGAAAGUGUGGGAAAGGAGGGGUGUGGAAAACGCAUCAGCCAUGGCAGGAAUUACAUACUCAGAGCUGAGGUCCCCACGGUUACAUCAUCCGGUUCCGGGUUUCACCAGAGAACUUGAGACGGAAUGAGUAACAAACAUUGACCAAAUCCAAGACAUGCAGUGAUACCUACAGAGAUAUAUAUCAUGCUACCUCUGUACAGUACCAAGUAUACAAAGGUGAUAGAGUUUAGUGAAGAUGGGGUGGCUAGCUGAGUUAAAACGACACAACGGUUUAACUUAAGAAGCUUGUAAGAUUUACAUUUGAUACAAAACAACAUUUUGAAAGUCCUCCCGUAAUAAUUUCCCGGUAUAAUAAUGUAGUACAGGUUCUAAUUGGUGCAUGAUAGUGA
rnacentral:lncRNA from 1 species